ACGUUGGAUACUGGAGCGGGGAAGGAUUUCGUGCCAACGGCACUCGUACACGAGUUGUUCGGAUACUGAGCACAACGUUACACCGUUUUGUUAGGAAAGUGAAGGUGCGUCGGCGGCGUGCGUUUUUUUUUUGUUUUUUUUUUUUUUUUAAAAAAAAAAAAAAAAAAGGCGCCCCCCCCUGGGCCUUUUUGAAAAGGGGGAAAAAA
rnacentral:rRNA from 1 species